UGAUCCUGGUUCAGGACGAACGCUGGCGGUGCGCCUUAUGCAUGCAAGUUGAGCGAAGCUUUUCAGUAGUUUACUACAGAAAAUGACUGAGCGGCGAACGGGUGAGUAACGCGUGAGCAAUCUACCUUAGUUACUGGGAUAGCCCGAGGAAACUCGGAUUAAUACCGGAUAUUCUUAUUUUUUCACAUGAAGUUUUAAGGAAAGGUCAGCCGAACUAAGAUGAGCUCGCGUUCUAUCAGCUAGUUGGUGGGGUAAAAGCCUACCAAGGCAACGACGGAUAGCUGGUCUGAGAGGACGAUCAGCCACACUGGGACUGAGACACGGCCCAGACUCCUACGGGAGGCUGCAGCAGGGAAUAUUGUGCAAUGAGCGAAAGCUUGACACAGCGACACCGCGUGUGGGAUGACGGUUCUAGGAUUGUAAACCACUUUCAGGAGGGAAGAAAAUGACGGUACCUCCACAAGAAGACCCGGCCAACUAUGUGCCAGCAGCCGCGGUAAUACAUAGGGGUCAAGCGUUGUCCGGAUUUAUUGGGCGUAAAGAGCUCGUAGGCGGUUCAACAAGUCGGUCGUAAAAGUUUAGGGCUCAACCCUAAAAUGUCGAUCGAUACUGUUGUGACUAGGAUACGGUAGAGGUGAAUGGAAUUCCGAGUGUAGCGGUGAAAUGCGUAGAUAUUCGGAGGAACACCAAUUGCGAAGGCAGUUCACUGGACCGUGAUCGACGCUGAGGAGCGAAAGCUAGGGGAGCAAACAGGAUUAGAUACCCUGGUAGU
rnacentral:rRNA from 1 species